GGUGAACGCUGGCGGCAGGCUUAACACAUGCAAGUCGAGCGGAGAUGAGGUGCUUGCACCUUAUCUUAGCGGCGGACGGGUGAGUAAUGCUUAGGAAUCUGCCAUUUAGUGGGGGACAACAUUCCGAAAGGAAUGCUAAUACCGCAUACGUCCUACGGGAGAAAGCAGGGGAUCUUCGGACCUUGCGCUAAAUGAUGAGCCUAAGUCGGAUUAGCUAGUUGGUGGGGUAAAGGCCUACCAAGGCGACGAUCUGUAGCGGGUCUGAGAGGAUGAUCCGCCACACUGGGACUGAGACACGGCCCAGACUCCUACGGGAGGCAGCAGUGGGGAAUAUUGGACAAUGGGCGGAAGCCUGAUCCAGCCAUGCCGCGUGUGUGAAGAAGGCCUUUUGGUUGUAAAGCACUUUAAGCGAGGAGGAGGCUACCUGGAUUAAUACUCUAGGAUAGUGGACGUUACUCGCAGAAUAAGCACCGGCUAACUCUGUGCCAGCAGCCGCAGUAA
rnacentral:rRNA from 1 species